UACGUAGGGGGCGAGCGUUGUCCGGAAUCAUUGGGCGUAAAGCGCGUGUAGGCGGCCCGGUAAGUCCGCUGUGAAAGUCCAGGGCUCAACCCUGGGAUGCCGGUGGAUACUGUCGGGCUCGAGUCCGGAAGAGGCGAGUGGAAUUCCUGGUGUAGCGGUGAAAUGCGCAGAUAUCAGGAGGAACACCAAUGGCGAAGGCGGAUCUCUGGGCCGAUACUGACGCUGAGGAGCGAAAGCGUGGGGAGCGAACAGG
rnacentral:rRNA from 1 species